rnacentral:rRNA from 1 species
AGGACGAACGCUGGCGGCGUGCUUAACACAUGCAAGUCGAGCGGAAAGGCCCUUCGGGGUACUCGAGCGGCGAACGGGUGAGUAACACGUGAGCAAUCUGCCCUUAGCUUCGGGAUAGCCCCGGGAAACCGGGAUUAAUACCGAAUAUGACUUCGGCCGACAUCGGCUGCGGUGGAAAGUUUUUCGGCUAGGGAUGAGCUCGCGGCCUAUCAGCUAGUUGGUGGGGUAAUGGCCUACCAAGGCGACGACGGGUAGCCGGCCUGAGAGGGCGACCGGCCACACUGGGACUGAGACACGGCCCAGACUCCUACGGGAGGCAGCAGUGGGAAUAUUGCGCAAUGGGCGAAAGCCUGACGCAGCGACGCCGCGUGGGGGAUGAAUGCCUUCGGGUUGUAACCCCUUUCAGCGAGGGACGAAGCGAAAGUGACGGUACCUGCAGAAGAAGCGCCGGCUACUACGCGCCAGCAGCCGC